rnacentral:rRNA from 1 species
UACGGGGGGAGCAAGCGUUGUUCGGAUUUACUGGGCGUAAAGGGCGCGUAGGCGGCCACCGCAAGUCAGUUGUGAAAGCUCUGGGCUUAACCCAGAAAGGUCAGCUGAUACUGCGGGGCUAGAGUGCAGAAGGGGCAACUGGAAUUCUCGGUGUAGCGGUGAAAUGCGUAGAUAUCGAGAGGAACACCUGCGGCGAAGGCGGGUUGCUGGGCUGACACUGACGCUGAUGCGCGAAAGCUAGGGGAGCGAACGGG